GACGAACGCUGGCGGCGUGCCUAAUACAUGCAAGUAGGACGCAGUUGCGAACGGGUGAGUAACGCGUAGGUAACUGCCUAUUAGAGGGGGAUAACUAUUGGAAACGAUAGCUAAUACCGCAUACUAGUAGAUGGACCUGCGUUGUAUUAGCUAGUAGGUAGGGUAAUGGCCUACCUAGGCGACGAUACAUAGCCGACCUGAGAGGGUGGUCCGCCACACUGGGAACGGGACACGGGCCAGACUCCUACGGGGGGGAGCAGGAGGGAAACUUCGGGAAAGGGGGGAAACCUUGCCGGGCAACUCCGCGUGGGUGAAGAAGGUUUUUGGAUCGUAAAGCUCUGUUGUUAAGGAAGCGGUACUUAACCAGAAAGGGACGGCUAACUACGUGCCAGCCGCCGCGGUAAUUC
rnacentral:rRNA from 1 species